AACAGCUGUGCUGAUCUCAAAUCCAAAGCGAUGCAACGCUGCCAUCUACAGGGAUCUGUUCAUCAUUACAAAGCUGCACAGUCAACGCUUGGAUUCCAAUCGACGAGUAUAGACGUCCACGGCAAUGAAUGAGCUACCGGCAAGAAGAAGAGGCUCAAGAAGGUCCCAGAGAAAAUCAAACUGACAAAAAGUAGCAGUCGUUCUCACGGAACCGAGAACAUUUAUACCCCUUUACAGUAAACUUCAACUGGGAGUGACAAACUAACACCUUGAAGCAGGCACUGUUUGCAUCCUAACUGGAGCGAGUCUUCUUUUCCUUUCCUCAAAGUGAUGUUAUACACAAGUCUCGCAUUUCUUGGCAGCAGGAGAGUGAAAACAGGGACUUACGUUAAGACGUUAGCAGGCAUCAUCUGGGACUCGGGCGCCGCUUCGAUCAGAGACUGCCACGUGUUGGUGGAGUUGGGGAUGACGAAGCCAAACUCGAAGAACCACUCUGAAGACGCGCGCGUGCACAC